UUGAACGCUGGCGGCAGGCCUAACACAUGCAAGUCGAACGGUAACAGGAAGCAGCUUGCUGCUUCGCUGACGAGUGGCGGACUGGUGAGUAAUGUCUUGGAAACUGCCUGAUGGAGGGGGAUAACUACUGGAAACGGUAGCUAAUACCGCAUAACGUCGCAAGACCAAAGAGGGGGACCUUAGGGCCUCUUGCCUUCGGAUGUGCCCAGAUGGGAUUAGCUAGUAGGUGGGGUAACGGCUCACCUAGGCGACGAUCCCUAGCUGGUCUGAGAGGAUGACCAGCCACACUGGAACUGAGACACGGCCCAGACUCCUACGGGAGGCAGCAGUGGGGAAUAUUGCACAAUGGGCGCAAGCCUGAUGCAGCCAUGCCGCGUGUAUGAAGAAGGCCUUCGGGUUGUAAAGUACUUUCAGCGGGGAGGAAGGGAGUAAAGUUAAUACCGUGGCUCAUUGACGUUACCCGCAGAAGAAGCACCGGCUAACUCCGUG
rnacentral:rRNA from 1 species